rnacentral:piRNA from 1 species
CCUCAGAAGAGCAGGCUGGACUGGUGUG